UGUUUGUCAGCAAGCGUGGAAAUACCGUCUUUCUACGAAAUAGGACCAGGGCUGACCAACUGAAGAGAAGAAGCCUGACUACUUAUGUUUUGCAAAGUGACAGAGAUUGGCAACAGUAACUCCAGAACAUUCACAACAUGGAGGAUGUAUAUGGUUGUCACAGUCAGCGGGGAAGUAUGGUGACAGCCUCCCUGUGUCUGAAGAGAGAGGAUGGUGACAAUCUCCCUGUGUUUGAAGAGAGAGGAUGGUGACAAUCUCCAU